AUGGAAGGGAGGACGCCGCCCUUCCUCUGCUCCCUGUCCAAGCAAGCGAGCUCUGGAUCCACCCCCACAACCACGGCAUCGGCACCGGCACUGGAGGCCGUGGAGAUGCAGCUCCGUCGCGCAGUUGUCGAGCCAAGGUUCAUUGAUGACAGCCAAGGGUUCAUGCUCGAAAACGAGUACAUCUUGCUCCAUGUUGUCGGCUCAGCUAGAGUCCUUAAUCAUGAGGAGAUGGGACACGUCGAUUGUUAG
rnacentral:rRNA from 1 species